rnacentral:rRNA from 1 species
CCUACGGGAGGCAGCAGUGAGGAAUAUUGGUCAAUGGGCGAGAGCCUGAACCAGCCAAGUCGCGUGAGGGAGUACUGCCCUAUGGGUUGUAAACCUCUUUUGUCGGGGAGCAAAAGCCGGACGUGUCCGGCUGUGAGAGUACCCGAAGAAAAAGCAUCGGCUAACUCCGUGCCAGCAGCCGCGGUAAUACGGAGGAUGCGCGCGUUAUCCGGAUUUAUUGGGUUUAAAGGGUGCGCAGGCGGAUUUUUAAGUCAGCGGUAAAAUCGUGGGGCUCAACCCCAUCCAGCCGUUGAAACUGGGGAUCUAGAGUGUGCGAGAGGUAUGCGGAAUGCGUGGUGUAGCGGUGAAAUGCAUAGAUAUCACGCAGAACCCCGAUUGCGAAGGCAGCAUACCGGUGCACAACUGACGCUCAGGCACGAAAGCGUGGGUAUCGAACAGGAUUAGAUACCCCAGUAGUC